rnacentral:rRNA from 1 species
CCUACGGGAGGCAGCAGUGGGGAAUAUUGCACAAUGGGGGAAACCCUGAUGCAGCGACGCCGCGUGAGUGAAGAAGUCUUUCGGUAUGUAAAGCUCUAUCAGCAGGGAAGAAAAUGACGGUACCUGAUUAAGAAGCCCCGGCUACCUACGUGCCAGCCGCCGCGGUAAUACGUAGGGGGCAAGCGUUAUCCGGAUUUACUGGGUGUAAAGGGAGCGUAGACGGCAGCACAAGUCUGGAGUGAAAUGCCUGGGCUUAACCCCGGAACUGCUUUGGAAAAUGUGCAGCUAGAGUGCAGGAGAGGUAAGUGGAAUUCCUAGUGUAGCGGUGAAAUGCGUAGAUAUUAGGAGGAACACCAGUGGCGAAGGCGGCUUACUGGACUGUAACUGACGUUGAGGCUCGAAAGCGUGGGGAGCAAACAGGAUUAGAUACCCGAGUAGUC